rnacentral:rRNA from 1 species
AAUAUUGGACAAUGGGGGCAACCCUGAUCCAGCCAUGCCUCGCUUGUGAAUAAUGUCUUCGGAUUGUAAAGCACUUUAUGUUGGGAGGAAGGGCUUUAGGCUAAUACCCUGAAGUUUUGACGUUACCAACAGAAGAAGCACCGGCUAACUCUGUGCCAGCAGCCGCGGUAAUACAGAGGGUGCAAUCGUUAAUCGGAAUUACUGGGCGUAAAGCGCGCGUAGGUGGUUCAGUAAGAUGGGUGUGAAAACCCCGGGCUUAACCUGGGAACUGCUUUCAUAAAUGCUGAGCUAGAGUACGGUAGAGGGUAGUGGAAUUUCCUGUGUAGCGGUGAAAUGCGUAGAUAUAGGAAGGAACACCAGUGGCGAAGGCGACUACCUGGACUGAUACUGACACUGAGGUGCGAAAGCGUGGGGAGCAAACA